CGGGGCGUAGCGCAGUCUGGUAGCGCACCUGCCUUGGGCGCAGGUUGUCGUGGGUUCAAAUCCCGCCGCCCCGACCA
rnacentral:tRNA from 1 species